GGAAAAGGAAAGAGUCACCAUGUGAUCCCAGGAAGAGAGGACAGCGUCCUCGGGUAUUUUUCCUUAACUUCCAUCCCCUGGAUUGCCGAUGAGUUGUCUGACUCCCAACAUUGUGUUGAGAUGUGGUCGUCUACCUGCUGGGCUGAAUGUAGCUCAUCCCUGUUUGGAAAUCUGCACGGAUACCUCUGACCAAUGCACUCCUGUCUCCUGAAAAAGUUCACCUGAGGUCUCUGGAGGAAGGAAGAGAAAAAAGAAAUGACAUUGAAGCACAAAAUCAGUGUACUCAGCUGAGCCAUCUCUGGGGUCACUUAGGCUUCGUUAUUGCUGUGUAAAGAAAAUUGCAGCUGAUGCUCCACUCUGCUGGUUUAGUUGUUAGAGUGCAAAGCACAAAGCAUGCCCUGAAACCGUCCGUAAAUUAACAGCAAGAAAUCAAGAGCGCAAAGACUCCAAGUGCAUCGCAGGGGGAUUAGCUUAAUGCCAACAAGAUGGACGUCUCUAGAUGGAGCAUAUUUUAAAACCUUUCCUUUUAUUUUGUAAUGAAAAAACAUAAUUCAAUUUGUUGUCUUCUUGGCAUAUAUAAAAUAUUAGGUGAAAGUACAAACAUGUCAUGUAAGUAUCUCAGAAUUUAUGAAUAUGGUAAAUACAAUGGUUUUGCAGCUUAGUCCUCCCCAAAUCAUCCCCUUCUCCUGAGUCAGUUGCCUCAGGAGCAUGUGAGCCCACAUGUCUAAGUUCCACUUACUGCCUAGCUUGGGCAUCUCAAUCAGCUCCAGCUGUGGAAUGAUGACAUUUUUGAGUGGGAAGGGCCUUGAUCUUAACUUUGUUCCAUCCCUAUGGUUAAGUGCACACUUAGAGUAGCAGGGGCCAUUUUGGUUAAAAGCCCACCAGACACUUCACUCAUUGUUUUCACAUAGUAUUUCUUACACUAACUCCAAAAGAUGCUUUUUAAAAGGAAGGCAUUGGAUACAUUAAUGCUUUCUCAGGAAACAGGGGAUAGAGGCUUGAUGCUUCGAAUUCUUCUUUCAGGUCUGGGUACCCCUCACCCAUCCCCUGUCCUAGCCUAGUCUUUGCUCCAAUCCUUUUCUCACAUACCCCACCUGGAUGGGAACGCACUGUGCCUUUCUUUAGAUAAUUGUAAGCUCUUGUUCCCUAUUUUAAGCUGCUGACUAUCUCACCCCACACCUGUACAAUGAACAAGCAAUAAUUCACAAGAGAUGAGACUAAGAUGACAGGACAGCCAACUAGAAAAAGAAUUUAAGUGAGCGUUUAAUGGGAAAAGAGCUAUACAUGGAACAUAAACACAGGAAGUCAAGGUUGGCGUCGGUAUUUACCAGGAAAAUGGCACUAACUCACGUGGAGCCACACAAUGGCCAGUUGAUAGACUCAGAAACUGACACAGCCACAUAGCAGCUUGCUGGGGGUUUUAACAGACAGUUGUAAACACUGCUGCAAAUAGUAAAAAAAUGACAGAGAAAUUCUCUCAGCAGCCUCUUACAAAGUUGGAAAUACAAAUGGAUCUGACUUAUGAGUGUCUAAAAAUAACUCCAGAUCAUUGGAAGCUGGACUUUGUGUCUUCAUGUGUGUCUCUCUUCUGGCUGGGGCUUCACCAUUGGCAAUUCUGGGCAGCCUAAAGAACUGCAGCUCUGGUCAGCUGUAUGGUCUCCAGGGUAAAAGGUCAAUCGGUCCUGCGCUGUGUUGAGCGAAUGCUUUGAACACUGGUCUUCAGUGAACCCCUCAAGGUGUUUGCCAUUUCAUCAUAAAAAGGUUCUGUGUGAAGUGGUUCUGAAUGCAUAUGUUCUGAGUCUGUAGAAGGUGGGCUGGGGGAAACUAAAAGGCAGUCCAGCAGUUUAUGGUUCUAGAUCUGUAUGCAUUAGAAACUAAAACAGCACCUUAAGAAGCUGUUCGAAAAUGUGUCCAAACUGGAGCCUAGGAAACUCCAUCUACAGUUGGAUGAGCGUUUUGCCAUGUGCGCACACCACAUGGUAAUACUCCAGCAAAGCACACAUGUGUUCAUGCGAGAACAGGUCAGAUAAAUGUCUCAGUUACAGUGACAAAGCAGUCCCCACAGUGUAGAAAAAUGAGACAGGACACUGCUGGAGAGUCUGGAUUAUGUCUGUGGCAAUGACAAUCUGGUCAUGAUUCUUGGGAACCAAGAGUGUAGAUUAGAGAGGGAUGGGGAAGGGACAGGAGACAUUUUCAAAAUCUAUUUACUGUUGAGGGGUUGGAGAUCCAACCUAGAGCUUCACAUAGGCUAUGCUACACUCCUAACCCUGAAAUAUUUAUUUCUGAGGCAAUGAAAUUUUACUCUGUCUUGACAGAGGUCCUUAUAUAUCAACUUGUGUUUUCAGAAUUCAUCAGAAUCUGUGGUUUUAAGAGAAUUGCAGUAUUGUGUGCACAUCCUCCCUAACAGUGUUGAUUACCAAUAGGAGAGAAAAAUAGGUGACACUAGCCAGUGGUACUGUGCAGAGCCAGGGAAAGGGCACUUGUGAUGUAGGAACCUCAGCACCUGGGGCAGCUGCUAUUCUUUCUCUGUCUGUUGAGAUGUUAGGCCCAGGCAACUAGAGGAAGGUUAUACAACUGUCUGGGGCAGUCCUGACAUGGUCACGAGAGGAUUUACUGUGUCUAAUUCCUCACAAAUGUAGGUAUAUGGACUGAACCUAGGCACUGCCCUCUGGGCAGCUGACCUUCCCCUACUUUUAGUGACAAAACCUGCUGGCAAUAAGAGCCACUUAAAAUGAUUGAGUACAAAUGGGGCCACACAAAACUCUUUAGUGUUCAAAUUCGAGGAGAUCAGUUUUGAAAUAAAUUCUUUCAGACAUUGUUACUGGCAGUGUUAAAACUUCACAUAAAUUAAGGAUAAUCUUCUAGAAUUCAUUACAUACCCAUGGAAUCACCAUUCUAACCAUGUUUUUAGGCAUGAACCCUCUAAUUUAAUAUGAAAUUUUGUUAGUGGAGUAUUUUAAAGCCUAUUAAGCCACUCAACAUUUGCCCUGAUAUAAUUCUUCUGUUUCCAAGUUUAAAAUGUCUGAUCCUUUCUCCCUCUGUCUGUGCCUUUAUUCCCUUUGUUUUAAACUAGAAGACAUUAUUUUUCCUAAAUGGUAUUUUUAUUAUAUUUACUGUGAAAAUAAUGAAACAGCACAGCAUAAGCAAAUCACCCCCUUAGCUGCACAUUUUCACGCGUCAGAAAAUGGCCUUGCCUUCAAAUUUUUAUUUUAUGUUUUCACAAAUUAAACAUUGGAUGUAAAAGCAA